rnacentral:rRNA from 1 species
UACGAAGGGGGCUAGCGUUGCUCGGAAUCACUGGGCGUAAAGCGCACGUAGGCGGAUUGUUAAGUCAGGGGUGAAAUCCUGGAGCUCAACUCCAGAACUGCCUUUGAUACUGGCGAUCUUGAGUCCGGGAGAGGUGAGUGGAACUGCGAGUGUAGAGGUGAAAUUCGUAGAUAUCCGGAAGAACACCAGUGGCGAAGGCGGCCUGCUGGGCAGUUGCUGACGCUGAGGCGCGACAGCGUGGGGAGCAAACAGG